AAGAAAUUAGUUAAAACAUAACAUUAAUAUGUCAUAUUAAAAUCAUUAUAAUUAUAAUAUUUCUUA
rnacentral:tRNA from 1 species